rnacentral:misc_RNA from 1 species
UUCGAGCGUCAUUACAACCCUCAAGCUCUGCUUGGUAAUGGGCCUCACCUGCUAAGGUGGGCCGUAAAACUAGUGGCGGUGCCAUUCGGCUUCAAGCGUAGUAAUUUUCUCGCUUUGGAGGACCGGGUGAGUACCUGCCAGCAACCUCAUUUUUAUUACAGGUUGACCUCGGAUCAGGUAGGGAUACCCGCUGAACUUAA